rnacentral:rRNA from 1 species
ACCGGCAGCUCAAGUGGUGGCCAUUAUUAUUUUUCCUCCCUCCUUCCCCCCCGGUUUGCUCCUUCUCUCCCAAAAUCCCUCAUCUUAACUGUGGUACUUGCUGGAGAUACUAUCAGACUUGAGGUCGGGAGAGGUUAGGGGUACUCCCAGGGUAGGGGUGAAAUCCUAUAAUCCUGGGAGGACCACCUGUGGCGAAGGCGCCUAACUGGAACGAACCUGACGGUGAGUAACGAAAGCCAGGGGCGCGAACCG